AAACACAUUUAGAGCAAGAGCAAACUGGUAAAGAGUCAGACUGCCUGACCCAGAGGCCUGAGCCAGCAGAGAAGACCGAGACAAAAACAAAGGACCUUCCAAAAGAAGGGCAAGAAUGACUGAAUCUACUGAUGACUCAGAUGAAGAACCGCUCUGCCUGAACCAGAGACCUGACACAGCGGCCAGAGCCAUCGCAGAAAACAUUGAUGAAGAAACAAGGCAAGAAACAAAAACAUGGAACUGAAUCAGAGACGAGCAACCGCCAGUCAUGGACUCCAGCU